rnacentral:rRNA from 1 species
GAUGAACGCUAGCGGCAGGCCUAACACAUGCAAGUCGAGGGGUAACAUGAGUGCUUGCACUUGAUGACGACCGGCGCACGGGUGCGUAACGCGUAUACAAUCUACCUUUUGCUGAAGGAUAGCCCAGAGAAAUUUGGAUUAAUACUUCAUGGUAUGCAUAGUUUUCAUGAACAUUGCAUUAAAGGUUACGGCAAAAGAUGAGUAUGCGUCCUAUUAGUUAGUUGGUGUGGUAACGGCACACCAAGACCACGAUAGGUAGGGGCCCUGAGAGGGGGAUCCCCCACACUGGUACUGAGACACGGACCAGACUCCUACGGGAGGCAGCAGUGAGGAAUAUUGGACAAUGGAGGCAACUCUGAUCCAGCCAUGCCGCGUGCAGGAAGACUGCCCUAUGGGUUGUAAACUGCUUUUAUACGGGAAGAAACCGUGCUACGUGUAGCACCUUGACGGUACCGUAAGAAUAAGGAUCGGCUAACUCCG